rnacentral:rRNA from 1 species
GACGAACGCUGGCGGCGUGCCUAAUACAUGCAAGUAGAACGCUGAAGAGAGGAGCUUGCUCUUCUUGGAUGAGUUGCGAACGGGUGAGUAACGCGUAGGUAACCUGCCUUGUAGCGGGGGAUAACUAUUGGAAACGAUAGCUAAUACCGCAUAACAAUGGAUGACACAUGUCAUUUAUUUGAAAGGGGCAAUUGCUCCACUACAAGAUGGACCUGCGUUGUAUUAGCUAGUAGGUGAGGUAACGGCUCACCUAGGCGACGAUACAUAGCCGACCUGAGAGGGUGAUCGGCCACACUGGGACUGAGACACGGCCCAGACUCCUACGGGAGGCAGCAGUAGGGAAUCUUCGGCAAUGGGGGCAACCCUGACCGAGCAACGCCGCGUGAGUGAAGAAGGUUUUCGGAUCGUAAAGCUCUGUUGUAAGUCAAGAACGAGUGUGAGAGUGGAAAGUUCACACUGUGACGGUAGCUUACCAGAAAGGGACGGCUAACUACGUGCCAGCAGCCGCGGUAAUACGUAGGUCCCGAGCGUUGUCCGGAUUUAUUGGGCGUAAAGCGAGCGCAGGCGGUUUGAUAAGUCUGAAGUUAAAGGCUGUGGCUCAACCAUAGUUCGCUUUGGAAACUGUCAAACUUGAGUGCAGAAGGGGAGAGUGGAAUUCCAUGUGUAGCGGUGAAAUGCGUAGAUAUAUGGAGGAACACCGGUGGCGAAAGCGGCUCUCUGGUCUGUAACUGACGCUGAGGCUCGAAAGCGUGGGGAGCGAACAGGAUUAGAUACCCUGGUAGUCCACGCCGUAAACGAUGAGUGCUAGGUGUUGGAUCCUUUCCGGGAUUCAGUGCCGCAGCUGACGCAUUAAGCACUCCGCCUGGGGAGUACGACCGCAAGGUUGAAACUCAAAGGAAUUGACGGGGGCCCGCACAAGCGGUGGAGCAUGUGGUUUAAUUCGAAGCAACGCGAAGAACCUUACCAGGUCUUGACAUCCCGAUGCUAUUUCUAGAGAUAGAAAGUUACUUCGGUACAUCGGUGACAGGUGGUGCAUGGUUGUCGUCAGCUCGUGUCGUGAGAUGUUGGGUUAAGUCCCGCAACGAGCGCAACCCCUAUUGUUAGUUGCCAUCAUUCAGUUGGGCACUCUAGCGAGACUGCCGGUAAUAAACCGGAGGAAGGUGGGGAUGACGUCAAAUCAUCAUGCCCCUUAUGACCUGGGCUACACACGUGCUACAAUGGUUGGUACAACGAGUUGCGAGUCGGUGACGGCAAGCUAAUCUCUUAAAGCCAAUCUCAGUUCGGAUUGUAGGCUGCAACUCGCCUACAUGAAGUCGGAAUCGCUAGUAAUCGCGGAUCAGCACGCCGCGGUGAAUACGUUCCCGGGCCU